UUUGGCGUUGCUCAGAAUUUCCCAUUGAUUAAAGAUAAAAAAGUGAUUUUUGCUAAUUAAAAUAAUAUUUAUAAAUUGAACAAAAAAUUUUUUGAUCACUCUAGAUACAUUAAACAACUUUUAGAAAUUAUAUUUCUCUACUAAGCAUUACAUAAUAUUUGUAUUUUUAUUUUUAAUUAUCACCUAUAAUUUGCUGUCGUUAAGAAAUAUUGUCGUUCAACUGAUAUUUACACGUUUUGAACAAAUUCUCUAUUAGAUAAAAUCUAAUGAACACGAAAUAAAAUAAAUUAAUAAAGAAACGAAAGGUAUAUUAAGAUCAAUCAUCUCUAGCAUAAAAAAUAUUUGCAAUUCAAUUUCAUGAAGAUAUCAAUUCACCAAGUCCGGCAAAAAUAUUCAAUAGAGUAAGAAAAGAACAUAAAUGGUUAACAGAAAGGCUUGAAUUCUUACCCUGCUUCGAAGGGUAAAAGUAACAAGAUGUAUGGAGACAAAUGUUGAUGAAUUAUCAAUAAAAUGUAACUGGACUUGGAUUUUGAAAAAAUAAUUUUAUUUAUUUGAAUGUUGCUCGAAUGAUCAUGAGAUAAAAGUCAAGAAACUAUUCGGUUUAUGAUCAAUGAAUCUCUACAUUAAAAAUAGUUUAAUUAUAAUUACCACAAGAUCAUGAGGAAGAAGGUAUAUUUCAUUUAAUUAUAGAAGUAAAUGUAAUUUUUUUAUCCAUCCGUAAAACUCAAAGUGUUUGUUGUAGGUCUAUUAUAUAUUACUUUAUGCAUUUAAUUUGAUUCAAAUAGUAAUGGAACAUGCUACUGUAUGAAUAAACAAUUAGAAAAAAAAAGUAAUACGACGAGUGGUAAACUUUUAUUUUUUCAAACAUU